CCUACGGGGGGCAGCAGUGAGGAAUAUUGGUCAAUGGGCGAGAGCCUGAACCAGCCAAGUCGCGUGAAGGAUGACGGCCCUACGGGUUGUAAACCUCUUUUGUCGGGGAGCAAAAGCCGCCACGCGUGGCUUUCCGAGAGUACCCUAAGAACAAGCAUCGGCUAACUCCGUGCCAGCAGCCGCGGUAAUACGGAGGAUGCGAGCGUUAUCCGGAUUUAUUGGGUUUAAAGGGUGCGCAGGCGGAAGAUCAAGUCAGCGGUAAAAUUGAGAGGCUCAACCUCUUCGAGCCGUUGAAACUGGUUGUCUGGAGUGAGUGAGAAGUAGGCGGAAUGCGUGGUGUAGCGGUGAAAUGCAUAGAUAUCACGCAGAACUCCGAUUGCGAAGGCAGCAUACCGGCGCGCAACUGACGCUCAUGCACGAAAGUGUGGGUAUCGAACAGGAUUAGAUACCCUGGUAGUC
rnacentral:rRNA from 1 species